UCCUUGGUGGCUCAGAUGGUAAAGAAUCUGCUUGCAAGGUAGGUGAACCAGGUUCGAUACCUGGCUUAGAAA
rnacentral:tRNA from 1 species